rnacentral:rRNA from 1 species
GAUGAACGCUGGCGGCGUGCUUAACACAUGCAAGUCGAACGACGCCCUUUAUUUGAUUUCCUUCGGGACUGAUUAUUUUGUGACUGAGUGGCGGACGGGUGAGUAACGCGUGGGUAACCUGCCUUGUACAGGGGGAUAACAGUUGGAAACGGCUGCUAAUCCCGCAUAAGCGCACAGCAUCGCAUGGUGCAGUGGGAAAAUGUCCGGUGGUAUACGAUGGACCCGCGUUGGAUUAGCUAGUGGGUGAGGUAACGGGCCCCCAAGGCGACGAGCGAUAGCCGAGAUGAGAGGGUCGCCGCCCACACUGGGACUGGGACACAGUCGGGACUCCUACGCGAGGCAGGAGAGGCGGAUAUAGCAAUACCGCGGAAAGGAUGAUGCAGCUAGGGCGGGUGAGCGAAGAAGUAUUUCGGGAUGUACAGCUCGAUCAGCCGGGAAUAUAAUGACGGUACCUGACGAAGAAGCACCGGCUAAAUACGUG